CAGGCUUAACACAUGCAAGUCGAGGGGCAGCAUGGUCUUAGCUUGCUAAGGCCGAUGGCGACCGGCGCACGGGUGAGUAACACGUAUCCAACCUGCCGUCUACUCUUGGACAGCCUUCUGAAAGGAAGAUUAAUACAAGAUGGCAUCAUGAGUCCGCAUGUUCACAUGAUUAAAGGUAUUCCGGUAGACGAUGGGGAUGCGUUCCAUUAGAUAGUAGGCGGGGUAACGGCCCACCUAGUCUUCGAUGGAUAGGGGUUCUGAGAGGAAGGUCCCCCACAUUGGAACUGAGACACGGUCCAAACUCCUACGGGAGGCAGCAGUGAGGAAUAUUGGUCAAUGGGCGAGAGCCUGAACCAGCCAAGUAGCGUGAAGGAUGACUGCCCUAUGGGUUGUAAACUUCUUUUAUAAAGGAAUAAAGUCGGGUAUGGAUACCCGUUUGCAUGUACUUUAUGAAUAAGGAUCGGCUAACUCCGUGCCAGCAGCCGCGGUAAUACGGAGGAUCCGAGCGUUAUCCGGAUUUAUUGGGUUUAAAGGGAGCGUAGAUGGAUGUUUAAGUCAGUUGUGAAAGUUUGCGGCUCAACCGUAAAAUUGCAGUUGAUACUGGAUAUCUUGAGUGCAGUUGAGGCAGGCGGAAUUCGUGGUGUAGCGGUGAAAUGCUUAGAUAUCACGAAGAACUCCGAUUGCGAAGGCAGCCUGCUAAGCUGCAACUGACAUUGAGGCUCGAAAGUGUGGGUAUCAAACAGGAUUAGAUACCCUGGUAGUCCACACGGUAAACGAUGAAUACUCGCUGUUUGCGAUAUACUGCAAGCGGCCAAGCGAAAGCGUUAAGUAUUCCACCUGGGGAGUACGCCGGCAACGGUGAAACUCAAAGGAAUUGACGGGGGCCCGCACAAGCGGAGGAACAUGUGGUUUAAUUCGAUGAUACGCGAGGAACCUUACCCGGGCUUAAAUUGCAGAUGAAUUACGGUGAAAGCCGUAAGCCGCAAGGCAUCUGUGAAGGUGCUGCAUGGUUGUCGUCAGCUCGUGCCGUGAGGUGUCGGCUUAAGUGCCAUAACGAGCGCAACCCUUGUUGUCAGUUACUAACAGGUUCCGCUGAGGACUCUGACAAGACUGCCAUCGUAAGAUGUGAGGAAGGUGGGGAUGACGUCAAAUCAGCACGGCCCUUACGUCCGGGGCUACACACGUGUUACAAUGGGGGGUACAGAGGGCCGCUACCACGCGAGUGGAUGCCAAUCCCCAAAACCUCUCUCAGUUCGGACUGGAGUCUGCAACCCGACUCCACGAAGCUGGAUUCGCUAGUAAUCGCGCAUCAGCCACGGCGCGGUGAAUACGUUCCCGGGCCUUGUACACACCGCCCGUCAAGCCAUGGGAGCCGGGGGUACCUGAAGUGCGUAACCGCGAGGAGCGCCCUAGGGUAAAACUGGUGACUGG
rnacentral:rRNA from 2 species